UCUCCGUAGGUGAACCUGCGGAGGGAUCAUUACAAGUGACCCCGGUCUUACCACCGGGAUGUUCAUAACCCUUUGUUGUCCGACUCUGUUGCCUCCGGGGCGACCCUGCCUUCGGGCGGGCGCUCCGGGUGGACACUUCAAACUCGUGCGUAACUUUGCAGUCUGAGUAAACUUAAUUAAUAAAUUAAAACUUUUAACAACGGAUCUCUUGGUUCUG
rnacentral:misc_RNA from 1 species